AGGAAUGUGAUAUCGCGCCUCAACACACAUACAUUUCAUAUGUCAUGGCGGGAUAGGAUCAUCACCUUAGAAACCCAUCAUAGGGAAAUCUGAUUCCAGGGUAAUAAUGCUUGAUGCGAUCAGGGGUCGAAGUCUAGGUGGAGAUCCCAGUCAGCGAUCGUGAUGCAAUCACGGGUUCUAGUAUAACCGGUGGGCUAGGUGACCGCCGUUACACAGUCAGGAUUUCAAGCUAUUUGGAUACCCAUAAACAAUGCCCUAUAUAUACCAUACAUAAGAUUGAUGCCA
rnacentral:lncRNA from 1 species